GACGAACGCUGGCGGCGUGCUUAACACAUGCAAGUCGAACGGUAAGGCCCUUCGGGGUACACGAGUGGCGAACGGGUGAGUAACACGUGGGUGAUCUGCCCUGCACUUCGGGAUAAGCCUGGGAAACUGGGUCUAAUACCGGAUAGGACCCUGGGAUGCAUGUCCUGGGGUGGAAAGCUUUUGCGGUGUGGGAUGGGCCCGCGGCCUAUCAGCUUGUGGGUGGGGUGAUGGCCUACCAAGGCGACGACGGUAAGCCGGCCUGAGAGGGUGACCGGCCACACUGGGACUGAGAUACGGCCCAGACUCCUACGGGAGGCAGCAGUGGGGAAUAUUGCACAAUGGGCGCAAGCCUGAUGCAGCGACGCCGCGUGAGGGAUGACGGCCUUCGGGUUGUAAACCUCUUUCAGCACCGACGAAGCGCAAGUGACGGUAGGUGCAGAAGAAGGACCGGCCAACUACGUGCCAGCCGCCGCCGUAA
rnacentral:rRNA from 1 species